UUAUCCACGGAAGCGGCUGAGUUUUGUCGGCGCCUCCGUCACCAGCUGCAGCCUCCCGCCGGCCCCGCGUCGGCGCGGAGGGGACAAGACCUGCCCCGGCCCCUUCCCUGCACUCAUCCCAGGGCCCUCCGCACGAACCAGAGACGACGCCUCUCAGAGGCUCCCAAAACCCAAAAAACCUUGUCCACCGCAGAGACCUGAAGGGAGAAAAGCAAAGUCCGGAACAAGAGGGGCCUGGCGAGGGCUGAGCCAGGGCUUAGCACCCCUGGGAGCAGGCAGCUGUCGGCAUCAGGAAUUAGGGCUCGAUUUCCUAGCGCGGAAACGCGCCUCUGCCGGCUCCGCAGGAGAGCGUUUCUCAAGAGCUUAGCUAUCGCCUGCGGCAGAAAUAUCAAAGUCCAAGAGAGAUAAGGCCACGCUGUUUAAUACCCUAUUAAAAACGCCUUAACCCCCAAAGGCACGGGAGCCAGCAAGGGCUGCCCGGCCGAGCAAGCCGCCGGGGGAUUAGGGAAGGGGACGCUCGGAGCGCAGCCGCCGCGGCUCGCGGGAAGCCGGCGCCGCCGGCAGAGCCCGCUCGGAGCUUUGCGUCCGCGGCGGCCGUGCAAACUCCGCUCCCGCUGCCUAAGGUUACUUCUGCGGCUGGGGGAACGGCGGCCAAGCCCGGCGAGAUCCGCCUUUCCCAAUCCCCCCGUAAUCUCCCCGCCAUCCUGCUAGGAAAAGGCCCGGCCGUCUAGUGUUUUUGGCACAGCCCCUCUCGCUCCUGCCUGGCUGGCUAGGCAGACCCUGCGAAGCGUGGAGAGCAAAUCCGCAGCGAGGCGCGGGCCAAGCGACUGCGGCGCUCGUAAGAAACCAAGAGCAACUGGUAGGAAAGUACGGAGAGCAGACACGGGGUUACACGCGUGUCCCUGGGGCAUGGAGGAGCUAACGCGCUGCGGUGCUGCCGCGGCGGGCAAAACCCUGAAACGAGUGGGAGAGGAAAGCGCUCUAUUUAUAGCCCAAAUCCAGCGCGUUUGCACGUGUUUAUCGCUGAGCACAUGUCCCUGCGCGCUGCCGGCGGAGGGCGGAGGGAGGAGCACCUUCGAAAGCGAGCGCGCGCUGAAGAGCUUUUCCGGAGGCCCAACCAUCCCCUUUUCCCGUGUCGCCGCUCAGCUCCCUGGAAGGAAGCACCCGACGGGGCCGGCUCUGCCCGGACGCCAGUGGAAAUUCUACCUGCGCCUUUGAAACCGGCUCCUCCUGGUCUGAGGUGGCAAAGAGGCUGCGGACUAUACCGACGGAGCUGUGGACUUCCUAUCACUGAGAUUAAAUAAACCGAACCAGGAAGGGGAAGAAUUGGAGCUGAAGCAUGCACUGGUCAUCGCCUCAGCUGAACGUGGUCCCAGUGUCCUGCGCCCAGCCUACCUCCACCCACCAGCAGACUUCCACAACACCAGCAGCUUCCAGCAACAGGAGCUUAGUCACACACUGCCCCGCAGGCAGCAGCGGUUCAAAGGGCAGGUGCAGCAGUGGCUCUGCUUAAGAAAACUGUUUUGCCACGGUUUGCCAGGGUCCAUGAGAGCAUCCUCCGGGCAAAAUUAUCGAUUGCUCUGAAUUAAAUUCUGGCUUGAGCCAAGGGUGGGCACCUAUGAACUCAGCAUCACCCAAAGGCAAUCACGGCCUGGGCGGAGGGCGACACGCGCCUUGCAGAAGCAGUUUGCUUCACCUACCACUCUGCAAUUUUGAAGUCUCUACAAAACACACUCUCCACUUCAGAAUUAAUCCUCUGUUUACAGUGAAAGCUAAUUUCGCCUUUAACUGACCCAGUCCCCACACGGUGUCAUUAUUAAAGUCAUAAACAAGUACCAAAAAAA